rnacentral:rRNA from 1 species
CCUACGGGAGGCAGCAGUGAGGAAUAUUGGUCAAUGGACGAGAGUCUGAACCAGCCAAGUAGCGUGAAGGAUGACUGCCCUAUGGGUUGUAAACUUCUUUUAUAUGGGAAUAAAAUGUUCCACGUGUGGGAUUUUGUAUGUACCAUAUGAAUAAGGAUCGGCUAACUCCGUGCCAGCAGCCGCGGUAAUUCGGAGGAUCCGAGCGUUAUCCGGAUUUAUUGGGUUUAAAGGGAGCGUAGGUGGAUUGUUAAGUCAGUUGUGAAAGUUUGCGGCUCAACCGUAAAAUUGCAGUUGAAACUGGCAGUCUUGAGUACAGUAGAGGUGUGCGGAAUUCGUGGUGUAGCGGUGAAAUGCUUAGAUAGCACGAAGAACUCCGAUUGCGAAGGCAGUUCACUGGACUGCAACUGACACUGAGGCUCGAAAGUGUGGGUAUCAAACAGGAUUAGAUACCCUUGUAGUC